GGGACUUUAGCUCACCUGGUAGAGCGUACGACUGAAGAUCGUAAGGUACGUGGUUCAA
rnacentral:tRNA from 1 species